rnacentral:rRNA from 1 species
AAUUCGACGCAACGCGAAGAACCUUACCAAGGCUUGACAUAUAGGGAAAAGUGGCAGAGAUGUCAUGUCCGCAAGGGCUCUAUACAGGUGGUGCAUGGUUGUCGUCAGCUCGUGUCGUGAGAUGUUGGGUUAAGUCCCGCAACGAGCGCAACCCUCGUUCUGUGUUGCCAGCAUUUAGUUGGGGACUCACAGGAGACUGCCGGGGUUAACUCGGAGGAAGGUGGGGAUGACGUCAAAUCAUCAUGCCCCUUAUGUCUUGGGCUGCACGCAUGCUACAAUGGCCGGUACAGAGGGCUGCAAUACCGCAAGGUGGAGCGAAUCCCAAAAAGCCGGUCUCAGUUCGGAUUGAGGUCUGCAACUCGACCUCAUGAAGUUGGAGUUGCUAGUAAUCGUAGAUCAGCAACGCUACGGUGAAUACGUUCCCGGGGCUUGUACACACCGCCCGUCACGUCACGAAAGUC